UGGGGAAUUUUGGACAAUGGGCGCAAGCCUGAUCCAGCCAUUCCGCGUGAGUGAAGAAGGCCUUCGGGUUGUAAAGCUCUUUCGUGAGGAAAGAAACGGUCCGGGAUAACACCCUGGGCUAAUGACGGUACCUCAAGAAGAAGCACCGGCUAACUACGUGCCAGCAGCCGCGGUAAUACGUAGGGUGCGAGCGUUAAUCGGAAUUACUGGGCGUAAAGCGUGCGCAGGCGGUUUGACAAGUCUGAUGUGAAAGCCCCGGGCUCAACCUGGGAACUGCGUUGGAAACUGUCAGGCUAGAGUGUAGCAGAGGGGGGUAGAAUUCCACGUGUAGCAGUGAAAUGCGUAGAGAUGUGGAGGAAUACCGAUGGCGAAGGCAGCCCCCUGGGCUAACACUGACGCUCAUGCACGAAAGCGUGGGGAGCAAACA
rnacentral:rRNA from 1 species